AAACCUGAAAAGAAAAAGAAGUUUAUUACAAAUGCUCCGACUACUGUUUGAAUGUAAAACGUGUUAGUUCAACGAGUGACCAAAACAGUGAAGGUGCUACUUACCUCGUGAGCAAUUAAUCACCAUACAAGGAAGUGUACAUGCAUGAAUUUUGCAGAUUAACAAGAAGAAAUAAAGUAGCUGAUAAGUGUAGAAAGAGAUAUAAGACGAUUGAAGCCAACCGUAGUAAGUAUUUAAGGCAUAUCGAAGAAUCAGAUGAUGUUGUGGGAAUGCUCUAGGUAAGUGAUGCAGCAUCGAAAGAGUAGAACCUGAAGAAUUACAGACAAUGUUAAUCUAACAAGUAGAUUUUAAUCACUAAUAA